ACAUAGUAAUAGUUGUUCAACCUGUGCAGUACUGCAGAUUUUGUACUCUGCUAAUCUGUAGAGAACAUGGAUAGAUAUAGAAAUGUACAACAUGGUUGUGGAUGUGAAUGAGAUGGGCGUCAAGCAUACAUGCAGAUUUCUGCUAGGUCAAAGAUGAAGAAGCAAGCUGUGUUGGAGG